CAGUAGCCGCGGGAAUACGUAGGUCCCGAGCGUUGUCCGGAACUAUUGGGCGUAAAGCGCGCGCAGGUGGUUUAAUAAGUCUGAUGUGAAAGCCCACGGCUCAACCGUGGAGGGUCAUUGGAAACUGUUAAACUUGAGUGCAGGAGAGAAAAGUGGAAUUCCUAGUGUAGCGGUGAAAUGCGUAGAGAUUAGGAGGAACACCAGUGGCGAAGGCGGCUUUUUGGCCUGUAACUGACACUGAGGCGCGAAAGCGUGGGGAGCAAACAGGAUUAGAUACCCGGGUAGUCCCUGUCUCUUAUAC
rnacentral:rRNA from 1 species